GGAUAUGAGGGUGAUCUGGCUCUCAUCCCUGUCACCCCACUGAUCACCAGGGUUGAUUCGAUUGGUCUGCUGGCUAGCCCAGUAUCCCCUUCCCUGCCAGCGUUCCAUGUGCAUCCCUCUUGAAGCUGUGUGUUUGAUCAAAGAGAAUGACUGUCCCAGAGGACCAGUCUUUGGUCAGGGGACAUGAGUAGUUGCACUCCCCUGCUAGAGUCUCCAGACAGGCUCUCACGGUCCAUUUGUAGGAGAAUAUAGGGUUGUCAAGCUUCCCAGUCUCCAGACACAUCCCAACGAGGUGCUGCAUGUGGCAGUCUGCCUUUCUAA
rnacentral:snRNA from 1 species